GACAGUGCUAGUGUGCUGAUAUGCGGAAGAAGUUACUGAUUUAGAGUAGGAAAUCAGCAGAAAUCAUUAUUAGAUUAAUGUGAGAAAGUGGGUCAAGGCCUCAGGGACAUAGAAAGUGCAGCUUCUCAGCAAGGAAGACAUGGCAAAGCUGGGCCACUGCCUAAGUUCUCAGGACCUUGUACGGCAAUGACCUUCAGUACACACUGCACAAAUCUGUUGAAUGAACAAGCUGAGAUGAAGGAUGCGUUUUGCCAGGAGAGACUAUCGGUUUAGUCUGAUCCACAGUGAACUUUGGAGGCCCAGUGUCUGCUUUCCAUCUUCAGACCCAGAUGCAGAACUCUCGCCUGUCAUGCCUGCCAUCAUGUUCUCCUCCGUGAUGAUAAUGGACUAAGCCUCCGAAACUUUCCAUGAGUAUAAGAAGGGCACGGAGCAGGGAGGUUCCUAGGGAAGAAGACGGAAUGCUCCUUGACUUCUCCUGAGCUUACAGCAGCACUCUCUCCUGGUGUACUAUUUCUUCUCAAUUCUAAGAGAAAGAAAACUUCAAAUCCACAUGGGCAAAGAGCACAGAGGAACAAUGGCUGACAAAAGAUUCCAAGAAGCUUUGGAAUGGUAGAAAGUUGAUGCUGGAAUAUAAAACAAAGCCAUGUUCAGAUCCCAGAUUACUUAUCUUCCUUGCUGCCACCAGAAUCAAUGUGUCUGAUUGUUUUCUUGGGAGAAUGAAGAAGGUAUGGCUAAUAAAACACAAGGUAAAUGCCACAUAACUUGCUACUCAUCAGUAACACCCAUGCACUGCAGAGAAAACUGUUCAAACUAGACUUCUCUGGGACUCUACAAUCAACCACUGCUGACUCCCUGUCUUCUCUCCGUAGUUAUUAAUAACCUAUGAUCUAUUGGUCUACUCUCCUGCCCAUCCUUCCCUUCCCCUAAGACCCGCCUAUUUGAGCAGACUUGCCAAUAAAGAUCCUUUUCUCUCAGU
ensembl:antisense Ccdc34os coiled-coil domain containing 34, opposite strand